UUACGACUACAUAUCAGGCAUAUCAAUAAGCGGAGGAAAAGAAACUAACUAGGAUUCCCUUAGUAACGGCGAGUGAAGCGGGAAGAGCUCAAAUUUGAAAUCUUCAAGGUUUUACCUUGACGAAUUGUAGUUUAAGGAAGUGUUUUCUGUUGAGUGUUUCGGUAAAAGUUCUUUGGAAUAGGACAUCAUAGAGGGUGAGAAUCCCGUAUUUGACCAUUACUUUCCAGCUGUGUGAUACACUUUCAAAGAGUCGGAUUGUUUGGGAAUGCAGUCCAAAAUGGGUGGUAAAUUUCAUCUAAAGCUAAAUAUUGGCGAGAGACCGAUAGCGAACAAGUACCGUGAGGGAAAGAUGAAAAGAACUUUGAAAAGAGAGUUAAACAGUACGUGAAAUUGUCAAAAGGGAAGCGUUUGACACCAGUGUUGUUUUCUCGAAAAUCAAUUAAAAAGAAGUUGGAUUUUGUAUUGUUAAGACCUUAUCAGCUUACUGUACUUUUUUCUUGCUCUUUUUGAUGCACUUUUCGUUUAACAAGUCAACAUCAAUUUCUUUUGUUGUAAAAGGGUCAUUGGAAGGUGGCUUUCACUUCGGUGAAAGUGUUUAUAGCCUUUGGCUUCUACAAUCGGAGAGAUUGAGGUCUGCAGCGUAGAUCCUUCGGGGUUAGAUACGUAGAUGCUAAGUUAUAGUUUUUUAUAGACAACUUGUUGACUAUGAUUAAUCAUGUAGCUUACUCGUUUACGCUAUUUUACCUACGCUUAGGAUGUUGAUCUCUCACAGUCGAGC
rnacentral:rRNA from 1 species